rnacentral:lncRNA from 1 species
GCGUAUUAUACUGCCUCUACAAGUAAGAAACCUGAUGUGUAGAGAGGGCGUUUUAAAGAUAAAUGGUAAAACUGAACUGGAAAUCCAUCUGGCCGGCUGCCUGCUCUAAUGAAUAACCCCACUUUGGCUCGUGCAAUGACUUCUUCCCUUUGGAAUGCAAGUGCGGUGGCAGUGUCAAGGAUGCCUGUGUGUUUGCAGCAGGUUCCUUCCAGAAGCAGCUGCAAGUGCCACCUCCAGGCCAUCUGGCCAAUGUGAGGAAAGGAGGCUGCAAGGGCUUGGCAAAAACAACUUUCUGUUCCUCUGGUAUCCCCUGAUAACUGAUUUCAAGUUAUGGCCAAGGACUGCCUUAUCGCCGUCAGUGGCUGUCAAAAAUUUAUAAGUAUAUUCAUUUCCCUAUUCAACUUAAUUGGUAUUUUGGGUAUGACACUAGAAAAGCAAGUUAGACUUGCCUGUUGGAGUCCAAGGAUACCUCCAACAAAAUUCUAGACAAUAAAAGAAAGGGUAAGUGUCUGAGGGGAGGGGGCACUUACAAAUUAUUCCAUUUAAUGCUAAUUCGAGGCUUCCAGAUUCAUUUUGGGAAAAUCAAAGAGCAAGAGCUGUAUGCAUGGCUUUUUAAAACACAAAGAAAAUUGGGAAGCAUGGGCUUCCCAAUUUUCCUGCGCAUAAACUUCUAGAACAAUUUCUAUUGUUGAUACUUUAAAAAAAAUCUUUUUCUUUUCUGUGAUGUGGUCUUUUAAACUCAUACCACAACUUAUGGCUCCCUCUACUUCCUAUAUUUUAAUUGAUCUUGAGGUUAUUUUCAAGUCACUGGGCUUAAUGAACAAAUAUUUUAGAAUUUCUUCCUUUAUAUACACUCAUUUCUGUCUCAAUAAAAUGUCUAAUCAGGAAUUCACUUGUGUAGAAAAUAAAAAAUAGAAGUACAUACCCUUCAAGUGAAGUUAGUUGUUUCUGUGAUUUUAUAAAAUCCAUGGACCUCAAGUUUGAGUAUCAUUGUUAUAAAAAACACAGCCAUUCAAGCCAUGCAUGGCACAAUUACUCAUUAACUGGGCAGCUUUUCCUUCAGAACACGGGAAUAUGGGGACAGAGGCCAUGUGAUAAUGUUGCAGGCUCCAUGUCAUGGACCAGUAUGGAAAUCCUAGCUUUUCCUCCUCUGAAAUUGGGUUACUUUGUCCAUGAAAUGGGGAUAUUCUUGCCGAACUAGCAUGAUUGACAUCAUCUCACCAAAAUCUCAACAAACGUAUGGGUACCCAACAAAUGCUGUUGAUUUAUUUCAUUGGGGUACUUCAGUAAUGAGAAGUAGUUAAUCAACCGGGUUAGGGUUUGAAAUUGGCCAAAUCUCAGAAAUCACCCUGAUGCGACUUAACUCUUCUCUGCCUCAGUUCCCUUAUCUCUAAAAUGGAACUAAUAUCAAUGUUUUUGAAACUAUGAAAAGAAUUAAUGCACAUUAAGUCCUUAAGAGAUUUCCUGAUGUAAACUGUGGACCUGGGGUGACAAUGGUG